GACGAACGCUGGCGGCGUGCUUAACACAUGCAAGUCGAACGGAAAGGCCCUGCUUUUGUGGGGUGCUCGAGUGGCGAACGGGUGAGUAACACGUGAGUAACCUGCCCUUGACUUUGGGAUAACUUCAGGAAACUGGGGCUAAUACCGGAUAGGAGCUCCUGCUGCAUGGUGGGGGUUGGAAAGUUUCGGCGGUUGGGGAUGGACUCGCGGCUUAUCAGCUUGUUGGUGGGGUAGUGGCUUACCAAGGCUUUGACGGGUAGCCCGCCUGAGAGGGGGACCGGGCCCAAUGGGGCAGGGGGAGGCGCCAGAACCCAAUCGGGGGGAAGGGAGGGGGGUAUAACGCAAAAGGGGGGGGGCAGUUGUGAAAACCCCCCGCGCGGGAGAUGGGGCUUUUGGGGGUAAACACCUGUUGCCGUUGAGGGGGAGAGAGUGACGGUAAAGGGGGAAAAAGCACCGGCUAACUACGUG
rnacentral:rRNA from 1 species